rnacentral:rRNA from 1 species
GCAUUAUACCGCGAAACUGCGAAUGGCUCAUUAAAUCAGUUAUCGUUUAUUUGAUAGUACCUUACUACUUGGAUAACCGUGGUAAUUCUAGAGCUAAUACAUGCUAAAAAUCCCGACUUCGGAAGGGAUGUAUUUAUUAGAUUAAAAACCAAUGCCCUUUGGGCUCACUGGUGAUUCAUGAUAACUUCUCGAAUCGCAUGGCCUUGCGCCCGGCAAUGGUUCAUUCAAAUUUCUGCCCUAUCAACUUUCGACGGCUGGGUCUUGGCCAGCCAUGGUGACAACGGGUAACGGAGGGUUAGGGCUCGACCCCGGAGAAGGAGCCUGAGAAACGGCUACUACAUCCAAGGAAGGCAGCAGGCGCGCAAAUUACCCAAUCCCGACACGGGGAGGUAGUGACAAUACAUACUGAUACAGGGCUCUUUUGGGUCUUGUAAUUGGAAUGAGUACAAUUUAAAUCCCUUAACGAGGAACAAUUGGAGGGCAAGUCUGGUGCCAGCAGCCGCGGUAAUUCCAGCUCCAAUAGCGUAUAUUAAAGUUGUUGCGGUUAAAAAGCUCGUAGUUGAACCUUGGGCCUGGCUGGCCGGUCCGCCUCACCGCGUGCACUGGUACGGUCGGGCCUUUCCCUCUGGGGAACCGCAUGCCCUUCACUGGGUGUGUCGGGGAACCAGGACUUUUACUUUGAAAAAAUUAGAGUGUUCAAAGCAGGCUUAUGCUCGGAUACAUUAGCAUGGAAUAAUAGAAUAGGACGUGCGGUUCUAUUUUGUUGGUUUCUAGGACCGCCGUAAUGAUUAAUAGGGACAGUCGGGGGCAUCAGUAUUCAAUUGUCAGAGGUGAAAUUCUUGGAUUUAUUGAAGACUAACUACUGCGAAAGCAUUUGCCAAGGAUGUUUUCAUUAAUCAGGAACGAAAGUUAGGGGAUCGAAGACGAUCAGAUACCGUCGUAGUCUUAACCAUAAACUAUGCGAACUAGGGAUCGGACGAUGUUAUUAUUUGACUCGUUCGGCACCUUACACGAAAGUACAA